rnacentral:rRNA from 1 species
UACGAAGGGGGCUAGCGUUGCUCGGAAUCACUGGGCGUAAAGGGUGCGUAGGCGGGUCUUUAAGUCAGGGGUGAAAUCCUGGAGCUCAACUCCAGAACUGCCUUUGAUACUGAAGAUCUUGAGUUCGGAAGAGGAGAGUGGAAUUCCCGGUGUAGCGGUGAAAUGCGCAGAUAUCGGGAAGAACACCCGUGGCGAAGGCGGCUCUCUGGACCGAUACUGACGCUGAGGCGCGAAAGCGUGGGGAGCAAACAGG